UUUCCGUAGGUGAACCUGCGGAAGGAUCAUUAAUGGAUGUAUAUGAGGAUGUGCUGGCUCGAAAAUAGAGCAUGUGCACUCUCUCUAAACCUCCCUUUCAUCCUCCUGUGCACUCUUUGAUGGGUUGGGUCAACUUCUGGCCUUAAUCCAUCGUAUUUUUACAACAUACACCAAUAAUACUCAUGAUUUUCAUUAACAAAUUGUAACAACUUUCAACAAUGGAUCUCUUGGUUCUC
rnacentral:misc_RNA from 1 species